rnacentral:rRNA from 1 species
GACGGAGGCCCCGAGCGUUGUUCGGAAUCACUGGGCUUAAAGCGCGUGUAGGCGGGGUGGCAAGUACCGUGUGAAAUCCCCGGCUUCAACCCGGGAACUGCUUGGUAUACUGCCACUCUUGAGGCAGGUAGGGGUCGCUGGAACGUUAGGUGGAGCGGUGAAAUGCGUAGAUAUCUAACGGAACGCCUGUGGCGAAAGCGGGCGACUGGGCCUGACCUGACGCUGAGACGCGAAAGCGUAGGGAG